rnacentral:rRNA from 1 species
AUGGUCAUGUACCUCAGGUGGUGGUGCAGCCCUCCCGUUGCGAUGAUAUGCCUGAGGACGACCUGGUGGUUGUGGUGCUGGUGGUUGCACGUAGUUCUGAUUUUGAUCAACCUCAUCCUCGUAAUGGUCCUCCACCUCUGCAGUAGCAGCAGGAACGGCAGAAGCACCAACAAUAGGUACAACAGCACCAGAAGUUUGACCAGGCUCAAUGGGAACGCGUUGUGCUCGUCCCACUUGAUUUGGAAUCGAUGUUGUUGUUGUUUUAGAGGUGCGUUAGGUGCAGCCGGUGGUGGUGGUCAAAGACGCGCGAGCAAUUCAUUAAACCUGUUAUCGAGCUUUGUUUCGAACGUCUUCUCCAUGCCAUCUAUCUUCUCCGUGGCCUCUUCAAAUCUGUUUAGCACAUCUUGCACCUAUCCACUCAUCAUUUGCUGA